rnacentral:rRNA from 1 species
UAUUAAAGUUGUUGCGGUUAAAAAGCUCGUAGUUGAAUCUGUGUCUCGCGCUGUCGGUUCACCGCCCGCGGUGUUAAACUGGCACGCCCGCGAGACGUCCUGCCGGUGGGACGGCGUGCCGGCGGCCCUCGGGCCGUCCGUCGCGCGUCCCGACUUGAAAUCCUACCGCGGUGCUCUUCACUGAGUGUCGAGGUGGGCCGGCACGUUUACUUUGAACAAAUUAGAGUGCUCAAAGCAGGCUAAAACUUCGCCUGAAUACUGUGUGCAUGGAAUAAUGGAACAGGACCUCGGUUCUAUUUUGUUGGUUUUCGGAACCCCGAGGUAAUGAUUAAUAGGGACAGAUGGGGGCAUUCGUAUUGCGACGUUAGAGGUGAAAUUCUUGGACGUCGCAAGACGGACAGAAGCGAAAGCAUUUGCCAAAAAUGUUUUCAUUAAUCAAGAACGAAAGUCAGAGGUUCGAAGGCGAUCAGAUACCGCCCUAGUUCUGACCAUAAACGAUGCCAGCUAGCGAUCCGCCGACGUUCCUCCGAUGACUCGGCGGGCAGCUUCCGGGAAACCAAAGCUUUUGGGUUCCGGGGGAAGUAUGGUUGCAAAGCUGAAACUUAAAGGAAUUGACGGAAGGGCACCACCAGGAGUGGAGCCUGCGGCUUAAUUUGACUCAACACGGGAAACCUCACCAGGCCCGGACACCGGAAGGAUUGACAGAUUGAGAGCUCUUUCUUGAUUCGGUGGGUGGUGGUGCAUGGCCGUUCUUAGUUGGUGGAGUGAUUUGUCUGGUUAAUUCCGAUAACGAACGAGACUCUAGCCUGCUAACUAGGCGUUACUUUCCGGCAUCUCGAAGGCUCGCGUCUCCCGUUCGCCGGUGCGGGCGAGUGUCGCGUUGCGGCGUUUCGGCGUUUGCGCGCGCCUCGUUCGUCCGGUCGGGUGUUCGCGGUUUUUACUGCCGGCGUACACAUGAAUCUUCUUAGAGGGACAGGCGGCUCCUAGCCGCACGAGAUUGAGCAAUAACAGGUCUGUGAUGCCCUUAGAUGUUCUGGGCCGCACGCGCGCUACACUGAAGGAAUCAGCGUGUCCUCCCUGGCCGAGCGGUCCGGGUAACCCGCUGAACCUCCUUCGUGCUAGGGAUUGGGGCUUGCAAUUGUUCCCCAUGAACGAGGAAUUCCCAGUAAGCGCGAGUCAUAAGCUCGCGUUGAUUACGUCCCUGCCCUUUGUACACACCGCCCGUCGCUACUACCGAUUGAAUGAUUUAGUGAGGUCUUCGGACCGGUACGCGGCGAGGUUUCGACGUCGCCGAUGUCGCUGGGAAGAUGACCAAACUUGAUCAUUU